ACUGCGCGCGAACCAAACACGGCGAGGAUAAAGCAAGAUGGCGUCUGACGGUGAAGACAGUUCAGUGUUCUUAAUCUGUGCCUCCAUGUACACAUAUAUGUCCUUUAUUACACUCUAGUAAAUAGAGUAAACAUCGUUAAUAACUGUUUGCAUCCGGUUAUAUUAGUCUGAGCGCACUUUGAUGCUUCUCCAGCUAGCUUAGCUUGCUAGUUAGCUUAGCUUGUUAGCUGCUAACAAAGAGAGGCGGAAGUGAUCAAAACACAUCGCUAAGCAGAGAUCAAGUGUGAGUGUAAAGUGUUGUGAUUGUGUGAAAAUGUGCGAAAGAACCAUAGCAGAGUACGAGGAGGAACUUUGUCCAACAAAAGAGGAGAAGGAGCGACAACAUCAAAAACAUCAAGUUGUGUUACACAGAACAGGGACACCAGUCACUGGCAUCUUGGUGACAUCAACCUCCUCCAGUCCUUCAAGAUGCUCUCCCUGCUGACUGAUGCUGUGUUCCUCCUUUCCCUCUUUAAUGUGAGGGUCUUCACAGAGACAACAGUCAGUGGAAACUUGCUGAGAUCCGCCUCCUCCUGCCCUGGAAGAAACUCUUCCUCCUGAGUAACCCAGAGAUCCUCCUCUUCCUCUUUAAUGUGGGGGGGCUGUGGAUCCUCCUGCUGCUGAAGGGGACGUUCUUCUUGACCAGCGUUCAUCUGUUGGACGUCCGCAAGACAACACAAACAAACUUCAGCUCAGAUGUGUCAAAUAUUUUUUAGUCUAUCAAAUAUAAUAUUUUCCAAGUGGACUGACAGCACUUUGUGGUGAUGUUCUUCUACACAUGGAAUAAUCAUCAGUUAUUGAUUAUUAUGAAUUGUGUAAUUGAUCUUGCACUUCAAGUUCAUAUGUGAGCAAAGGCAGGUGGCCAAAUACUUUUGGCAAUAUAAAAUAUAUAUAUAUAUAUAAUUUUUUUUAAAUAAUAUUUGGGUACCUCAUGCUUCGAUUAUAAACAAAAUAUUGAUGCAUGUUCAAUUUGUGUGGAGUAUAUUAAAGCCAUUUUUAAUAUCUAACAUUUAUUUCAUUAAAUAUUUAUUUUUGUCUGAUUGAAUGAGCAUUAAUUGCUUACAAUUGUACAAAUAGUAAUAACAAGCAUCAGUUGAUUUAAUUUCCAGGAUAUGUGCGCCAGAAUGCAGCUGACACCCAAAAAGGGACGAGCGGUAUGAACACGGAUGGGUGGAUUUCAUCAAGGUACUAAAAGUGCGUGCAAACAACAUAAUUUGUAUUUAUCGCUAAUAGAGUUAGCACCAACACAAAGUAGACUACUGCAAUGUACGUGUAAUACAUUAUAUUACAGGAGUGGUUCUUAACCUUGUUGGAGGUACCGAACCCCGGCAGUUUCAUGUGCGCAUUCACAGAACCCUUCUUUAGUGUAAAAUAAAAUGUUUUUUCUUAAAUUAAUGAUGUUAUUAUAUUAAAGAAAUACUAAUAAAGAUAUAGCUUACAAACAGAAAGUUACAGGAAAGUACACAUGAUCCCAUGUUUACAUCUCAUUGUGCAACAUGUGAAUGUUUUAGUGGGACCUAAAUGCGACAACUGAAAGGGGUACAAAUUAUCUCCAACCCCACCUUGUACAGAGCUCAUGAAAAACUAUGUCGUUGUUUUUUGUCAUUGUAAGUGUGCCAAAACACUUAUAUUAGAAAAUAAUCUCAUGGA